rnacentral:tRNA from 1 species
CCCCUGGUGGUCUAGUGGUUAGGAUGCAGCAUUUUCACCGCCGCGAACUGGGUUUGAUUCCCGGUCCGGGAA